rnacentral:misc_RNA from 1 species
GAUGAAGAACGUAGCGAAAUGCGAUAAGUAGUGUGAAUUGCAGAAUUCAGUGAAUCAUCGAAUCUUUGAACGCACAUUGCGCCCUUUGGUUUUCCUUAGGGCAUGCCUGUUCGAGCGUCAUUUAAACCUUCAAGCUCAGCUUGGUGUUGGGUGACUGUCCGCUUCACCGCGGACUCGCCUCAAAAUUAUUGGCGGCCGGUACAUUGGCUUCGAGCGCAGCAGAAACGCGAACUCGGGCCCGUCGUAUUGGCUCCCAGAAGCUAUCUUCACAAUUUUGACCUCGGAUCAGGUAGGGAUACCCGCUGAACUUAAGCAUAUCAAUAAGCGGAGGA